UUACCAGCCCUUGACAUCCCGGUCGCGGAUCACAGAGAUGAGAUCCUUCAGUUCGGGCUGGACCGGUGACAGGUGCUGCAUGGCUGUCGUCAGCUCGUGUCGUGAGAUGUUGGGUUAAGUCCCGCAACGAGCGCAACCCUCGCCCCUAGUUGCCAGCAUUAAGUUGGGCACUCUAGGGGGACUGCCGGUGAUAAGCCGCGAGGAAGGUGGGGACGACGUCAAGUCCUCAUGGCCCUUACGGGCUGGGCUACACACGUGCUACAAUGGCGGUGACAGUGGGAUGCAAAGGGGCGACCCCUCGCAAAUCUCCAAAAGCCGUCUCAGUUCAGAUUGCACUCUGCAACUCGAGUGCAUGAAGGUGGAAUCGCUAGUAAUCGUAGAUCAGCAUGCUACGGUGAAUACGUUCCCGGGCCUUGUACACACCGCCCGUCACACCAUGGGAGUUGGUUUUACCCGAAGGCGCUGCGCCAACCGCAAGGAGGCAGGCGACCACGGUA
rnacentral:rRNA from 1 species